CGUUUCUCCUCUGCCCCCUGCUUCCUAAUUCUUCUUUUUUCAUACAACCUCAUUGAAAAAGUGGUUCUUUUACACCUUUCCACACACAAUUUAUGAAAAAUGUUGCAUUUUAAAAUGCAACCUUUAAUGUAUUCAUUUUUUGAACUUUUUUUUCCGCAUUUCAUUAAUAUUUAUUUGUUGAUUUUUGCAUAUCUUAACUAUAUUAAGAUGAAACAAAAACUUCCAGAUCUGAAAUAAGAUUAUGUAAAAUCAAAACCUCAACCUCUACGAUUUUUGCUCCAUCAAAACCAUGAUCUGAAAUCAAAACCACCAGAUUUGAAAUCAAAACAACCAGAUCUAAUAUCAAAAGCACACGAUCUAAAAUCAACACUCAUCUUCUUCAUACUUACAAGAUUAUGAAAUGGAACAAUAGAAGGAGGGUAUCAAAAUUCAAGAGUACUAAAAAUUGUCCCUGAAGAAUAACAUAUUUAAAUUAGAAUGGAGCAAAGAAAGCUGGAAAAAAAAACACAUUUAAAUUAGAGUGGAGUAAAGCAUGCUGGAAAAAAAUGAAGAGGACGGUCGAGAUAAGACUUCAUCACCUAGAAGAAAAUUAUCAUUUAUUCUCUCGGUUUAAGAAAAAACUCGAGGGAUAAACUAAUUCAGUGUACAUGCUUCGAGUGUCAGCAAUUGCAGCUUUUGUUUUUUUUCUUUAAA